rnacentral:rRNA from 1 species
AGCGAACGCUGGCGGCAGGCCUAACACAUGCAAGUCGAACGAACCUUUCGGGGUUAGUGGCGGACGGGUGAGUAACACGCGGGAACGUGCCUUUAGGUUCGGAAUAACUCAGGGAAACUUGUGCUAAUACCGAAUGUGCCCUUCGGGGGAAAGAUUUAUCGCCUUUAGAGCGGCCCGCGUCUGAUUAGCUAGUUGGUUGAGGUAAUGGCUCACCAAGGCGACGAUCAGUAGCUGGUCUGAGAGGAUGAUCAGCCACAUUGGGACUGAGACACGGCCCAAACUCCUACGGGAGGCAGCAGUGGGGAAUCUUGCGCAAUGGGCGAAAGCCUGACGCAGCCAUGACGCGUGAAUGAUGAAGGUCUUAGGAUUGUAAAAUUCUUUCACCGGGGACGAUAAUGACGGUACCCGGAGAAGAAGCCCCGGCUAACUUCGUG